rnacentral:piRNA from 1 species
UCUAAGAAUCAAGAUACUACAUCCAGACCA